rnacentral:rRNA from 1 species
CCUACGGGCGGCAGCAGUGAGGAAUAUUGGUCAAUGGACGCAAGUCUGAACCAGCCAUGCCGCGUGCAGGAAGACGGCUCUAUGAGUUGUAAACUGCUUUUGUACGAGGGUAAACGCAGAUACCCGUCUCUGUCUGACAGUAUCGUACGAAUAAGGAACGGCUAACUCCGUGCCAGCAGCCGCGGUAAUACGGAUGAUGCGAGGGUUAUCCGGAUUUAUGGGGUCUAAGGGGGCCGCAGGCGGUCUGUAAAGGCAGCGGUCAAAGCCCGGGGCUCAACCCCGGCCCGCCGUUGAAACUGGCAGUCUCGAGUUGGAGAGAAGUAUGCGGAAUGCGCGGUGUAGCGGUGAAAUGCAUAGAUAUCGCGCAGAACUCCGAUUGCGAAGGCAGCAUGCCGGCUCCACACUGACGCUGAGGCACGAAAGCGUGGGUAUCGAACAGGAUUAGAUACCCUUGUAGUC